rnacentral:rRNA from 1 species
CGGGGUGAGUAACGCGUGGAUAACCUGCCUCACAUUGGGGGAUAACAGUUAGAAAUGACUGCUAAUACCGCAUAAGCGCACAGUACCGCAUGGUACAGUGUGAAAAACUCCGGUGGUGUGAGAUGGAUCCGCGUCUGAUUAGCCAGUUGGCGGGGUAACGGCCCACCAAAGCGACGAUCAGUAGCCGACCUGAGAGGGUGACCGGCCACAUUGGGACUGAGACACGGCCCAA